UACGUAGGUGGCGAGCGUUGUCCGGAUUUAUUGGGCGUAAAGCGCGCGCAGGCGGUUGCCUAAGUCUGCUGUGAAAUCUCCCGGCUCAACUGGGAGGGGGCGGCGGAGACUGGGUGACUGGAGGGACCUAGAGGCCGGUGGAAUUCCCGGUGUAGUGGUGAAAUGCGCAGAUAUCAGGAGGAACACCGGUGGCGAAGGCGGGUCUCUGGGCCAUUACUGACGCUGAGGAGCGAAAGCGUGGGGAGCGAACAGG
rnacentral:rRNA from 1 species